UUUUCCUCUUCAGAUCUUGUUCUCUCGUCUCCCUUUAGCACUCUCCAUCCUCAGCACCAACAGUGCAGCACAGCAGCAAACCUCCAUAGCCAUGUUCUCCGACUGCGACGCUUGCCACUUCGCCGUGACCUGCAAUAAAAGUCACCGCGAACGCCGCCAUUGACGGAUAGAGUUGCCAUUGACGAAGACGCCGACCCCACACGCCACCGCCGACGCCACCGUCUGUUUUGUUAAACUUCAAUUCCAAGGGAUACUUAGGACAUGGAGCAAAUUUGCCUUUGGUUAGGAUACAUGGGCAGCCAAAAACUGUUAAAGUUGCAGCAAACCUUGUCAGGUUAUUAGCCAACAAUAACAAGAAAUUUAGUCUCCAGCUAUUCAGUUCCAAAGAGUGACUUGACAUUCUCUCUUUAUAAAUUGUGGAGCAGACAGAAAAUGGAGAGAAGUAGAUGAUAAUAAAUUAUACUAUGAUGCGGUUCGCGGACAUGACAAGAAAAGAAGAAUUUAUGGACUUAGUUCAUAUUGUGGUUCCGUUGAUCUUAAUGUGUAUUGUUGUUUGUUAAGACUACUAUAUUGUUGUUUAGAUUUGAAUUUAACUAUUAUUAUUUAUUAAAUGUAGAUUGAUAAUGUAUUAUUAAUUGAAAUGGAUUGAUAAUGUUUUAUAA